UACGGAGGGUGCGAGCGUUGUCCGGAAUCACUGGGCGUAAAGGGCGCGUAGGCGGCCUGAUAAGUAGGGGGUGAAAUCCUGCGGCUUAACCGCAGGGCUGCCUUCUAAACUGUCAGGCUUGAGCACAGUAGAGGCAGGGUGGAAUUCCCGGUGUAGCGGUGGAAUGCGUAGAGAUCGGGAAGAACAUCAGUGGCGAAGGCGGCCUGCUGGGGCUGUUGCUGACGCUGAGGCGCGACAGCGUGGGGGAGCAAACAGG
rnacentral:rRNA from 1 species